CCUACGGGUGGCAGCAGUGAGGAAUAUUGGUCAAUGGGCGGGAGCCUGAACCAGCCAAGUCGCGUGAGUGAAGACGGUCCUAUGGUUUGUAAACCUCUUUAGGCGGGGAGCAAUGCCGGGCACGCGUGCCCGGAGGGAGAGUACCCGCAGAAUAAGCAACGGCUAACUCCGUGCCAGCAGCCGCCGUAAUACGGAGGAUGCGAGCGUUAUCCGGAUUGAUUGGGUGUAAAGGGUGCGUAGGCGGAUUUUUAAGCCAGCGGUAAAAUGUCCGGGCUCAACCUGGGCCGGCCGUUGAAACUGGGGAGCGUGAGUGGGCGAGAGGGAUGUGGAAUGCGAGGUGUAGCGGUGAAAUGCGUAGAUAUCACGAGGAACUCCGAUGGCGAAGGCAGCAUACCGGCGCCCGACUGACGCUGAGGCACGAAAGCGUGGGGAUCGAACAGGAUUAGAUACCCUAGUAGUC
rnacentral:rRNA from 1 species